GUGUCAGCAGCCGCGGUAAUACGGAGGGUGCAAGCGUUAUCCGGAUUUAUUGGGUUUAAAGGGAGCGUAGGCGGGAUAGUAAGUCAGUGGUGAAAUCUUCCGGCUCAACCGGGAAACUGCCAUUGAUACUGCUAACCUAGAGUACAUUUGAAGUGGGCGGAAUGUGUCAUGUAGCGGUGAAAUGCUUAGAUAUGACACAGAACACCAAUUGCGUAGGCAGCUCACUAAACUGUAACUGACGCUGAGGCUCGAAAGCGUGGGGAUCAAACAGGAUUAGAUACCCUGGUAGUCC
rnacentral:rRNA from 1 species